CACCAGGAGAGCAAUUCAUGGAAAAGAAUAGGCCAGGAGUAUAUUUGAGGAGUUCCAUGCCUCGCCCAUGGGAGGGCACACAGGAAUACACAAAACCCGAAGUGCCUUAGCGUCAAGGUUUUACUGGUUUGGGAUGUCCGUAGACAUUGAAAAAUGGAUCCAGGAAUGUGACCAGUGUCAGAAAGUGGGCAAGCCCCUUACAGCGGUGCAACCUCUGCAGUGCAUCAUGGUGUCAGCUGUAUGGGAACUUGUGGGCAUAGACCUCACUGGUCCCCUGCCCAAGACACAAAGUAGCUUCC